rnacentral:rRNA from 1 species
GAUGAACGCUGGCGGCGUGCCUAACACAUGCAAGUCGAGCGAACCCUUUGGGGUGAGCGGCGGACGGGUGAGUAACGCGUGGGUAACCUGCCCUGUACACACGGAUAACAUACCGAAAGGUAUGCUAAUACGAGAUAAAAUGUAAUGAUCGCAUGGUCGAUACAUCAAAGCUCCGGCGGUACAGGAUGGACCCGCGUCUGAUUAGCUAGUUGGUGAGGUAAUGGCUCACCAAGGCGACGAUCAGUAGCCGACCUGAGAGGGUGAUCGGCCACAUUGGAACUGAGACACGGUCCAAACUCCUACGGGAGGCAGCAGUGGGGAAUAUUGCACAAUGGGCGAAAGCCUGAUGCAGCAACGCCGCGUGAGCGAUGAAGGCCUUCGGGUCGUAAAGCUCUGUCCUCAAGGAAGAUAAUGACGGUACUUGAGGAGGAAGCCCCGGCUAACUAC